AGGAGAUUUGUAGUCAACCUUAGGGG
rnacentral:snRNA from 1 species